rnacentral:rRNA from 1 species
CCGGCGCACGGGUGAGUAACGCGUAUGUAAUCUACCUGUAACAGAGGGAUAUCCCGGAGAAAUCCGGACUAAUACCUCAUAGCACAUAUUAUUCGCAUGAAUUUUAUGUUAAAGAGACUCGGUUACAGAUGAACAUGCGUUCCAUUAGCUAGUUGGCGGGGUUACGGCCCACCAAGGCAACGAUGGAUAGGGGUUCUGAGAGGAAGGUCCCCCACACUGGUACUGAGACACGGACCAG